AAAAAAUAACACAGAAGAAGAAGAAGAUAGCGCACAGGAGAAAGUUAAAACCCUUGGGAGGCAAAGCGCUGCAGAAAAAGUACUGCAGUUGAGCUGAACGCAAGUUUAAGUUUCUGCCUACAGGGUCAAUCUUUUCGCCCCAUCCCCUCCCCUUCCUCCAGGCCAGAGGGGCAACAACAUCAGCAUGUCAACGUUGGGAUGGUGUGUUCAGGCUAUUGCAUUGUGGCCAGAAAGAUCCAUUUUGUUCUCAUCUGGCAUGUUUGCCGUGUCUCCUGCUUGGCUGGUGGAAAAUUGUUAUUGUAGGACUUUUUAUAGUUUUCUUUUAACAAUGGAUGUCUUAAAAUAACCUGAUUUGUAGAGCACUAAUAGUUGUCCUUUCGAGAGACUCUCCAACCUCAGCUCCAGAGUUACCACGGGCCUCUUAGUUGCUUCCUUGAUAAAUGCUCCUCUUACCCAACUUGUCAGUUUAGGUGAACAACCAUGUCUUAAGCAAGCCUUUGAAUGUACUGCCACAUCUUUGAACUCCGCUUCUCUUUGCAUGUUUGUGGUUUCCAACUAAAACACAAUGUUUAGGUUUACACAAGCAAAAAAAAUGCAUCAUUCGUCUGUCACCCUCCUGUCACUUUGCACACUAGUGCUGGUUUCCAACUGCAAAUAAAUGGAUUAAAGAAAUAUGUGAGUUGAGCCCUU